AGACCCGAAACCCGGUGAUCUAGCCAUGGGCAGGUUGAAGGUUGGGUAACACUAACUGGAGGACCGAACCGACUAAUGUUGAAAAAUUAGCGGAUGACCUGUGGCUGGGGGUGAAAGGCCAAUCAAACCGGGAGAUAGCUGGUUCUCCCCGAAAGCUAUUUAGGUAGCGCCUCGUGAAUUCAUCUCCGGGGGUAGAGCACUGUUUCGGCUAGGGGGCCAUCCCGGCUUACCAACCCGAUGCAAACUGCGAAUACCGGAGAAUGUUAUCACGGGAGACACACGGCGGGUGCUAACGUCCGUCGUGAAGAGGGAAACAACCCAGACCGCCAGCUAAGGUCCCAAAGUCAUGGUUAAGUGGGAAACGAUGUGGGAAGGCCCAGACAGCCAGGAUGUUGGCUUAGAAGCAGCCAUCAUUUAAAGAAAGCGUAAUAGCUCACUGGUCGAGUCGGCCUGCGCGGAAGAUGUAACGGGGCUAAACCAUGCACCGAAGCUGCGGCAGCGACGCUGAUGCGUUGUUGGGUAGGGGAGCGUUCUGUAAGCCUGC
rnacentral:rRNA from 1 species